rnacentral:tRNA from 1 species
AGGGUAAUAGUUAACUAUAACAUUUAACUUGCACUUAAAAAGUAUUGGCCCCCAAUUUACCUUA